rnacentral:rRNA from 1 species
CCUACGGGGCGCUGCAGUGGGGAAUAUUGGACAAUGUGCGAAAGCCUGAUCCAGCCAUGCCGCGUGUGUGAAGAAGGCCUUCGGGUUGUAAAGCACUUUCAGUGGGGAAGAAAGCCUUGGGGCUAAUACCCUCGAGGAAGGACAUCACCCACAGAAGAAGCACCGGCUAACUCCGUGCCAGCAGCCGCGGUAAUACGGAGGGUGCGAGCGUUAAUCGGAAUUACUGGGCGUAAAGCGCGCGUAGGCGGUCUGAUAAGCCGGUUGUGAAAGCCCCGGGCUCAACCUGGGAACGGCAUCCGGAACUGUCAGGCUAGAGUGCAGGAGAGGAAGGUAGAAUUCCCGGUGUAGCGGUGAAAUGCGUAGAGAUCGGGAGGAAUACCAGUGGCGAAGGCGGCCUUCUGGACUGACACUGACGCUGAGGUGCGAAAGCGUGGGUAGCAAACAGGAUUAGAUACCCCUGUAGUC